UACGUAGGCAGCAAGCGUUGUUCGGAGUUACUGGGCGUAAAGGGUGCGUAGGCGGCCCUGUAAGUAUGGUGUGAAAUCUCCCGGCUUAACUGGGAGGGUGCGCUAUAGACUGCGGGGCUCGAGUGUGGGAGAGGAAAGUGGAAUUCCUGGUGUAGCGGUGAAAUGCGUAGAUAUCAGGAGGAACACCGGUGGUGUAAACGGCUUUCUGGACCAUAACUGACGCUGAGGCACGAAAGCGUAGGUAGCAAACAGG
rnacentral:rRNA from 1 species